rnacentral:lncRNA from 1 species
UUGUUCCGGCAGCCUUUCACUGAGGGGACCCGCCAGUUUCAAAUUCAGUGGCGUUUGCCCUGAUUCCCGGGGCCUGGCUUUCAGCGUAGCAAUUCUGCCGGCGAAGAAGGUGAGCGCAGUGCUGUGUGGCAGCAGAGGUCCUUAGGACGAGGAGCAGCGGGACGAGGAAGGGCAGACUGGUGAAAUCGCAAACUGGGCGUCUGUUCCGGCGCCGGACCCCUGUUUGCAAAGGACUUCACAACGGGAUAAAGUGAAGUAGCUUCGGCUUGUGAAUGUGGUCCAUGGCUAAUGAAACACAGAAGGUUGGUGCCAUCCAUUUUCCUUUUCGAAGACUUCAUGGCAGAGCUGUACCGGGUUUUGGAGGCUGGCAAGAUUGGG